rnacentral:rRNA from 1 species
GCUAACACUAGCCCAAAAAUCAAAGAUAUCAAUAUUAAAACAAUAUACAUAGACUAAAUCAUUUAUACGUAUAAAAGUAUAGGCGAUAGAAAGUUUACUUUUUGGCGCUAUAGAGAUAGUACCGCAAGGGAAAGAUGAAAAAAAGAAAUAAAGCACAAAAUAGCAAGGAUUCACCCCUGUACCUUCUGCAUAAUGAACUAAUUAGAAAUUACUUGGCAAAGAGAACUAAAGCCAAAAACCCCGAAACCAGACGAGCUACCCAAAAACAGCCAAAAGAGCACACCCGUCUAUGUAGCAAAAUAGUGGGAAGAUUUCUGGGUAGAGGUGAUAGGCCUACCGAGCCUGGUGAUAGCUGGUUAUCCAAGAUAGAAUCUUAGUUCAACCUUAAGUUUACCUGCAGAAUUAUUAAUCCCCCUGUAAACUUAAUUGUUAUUCUAAAGAGGGACAGCUCUUUAGACACUAGGAAAAAACCUUACACAGAGAGUAAAAAUUUGGCCCUCCAUAGUUGGCCCAAAAGCAGCCAUCAAUUAAGAAAGCGUUCAAGCUCAACAUUAUCUAUCCAAAAAAUUCCAAACAUAAUAAUGAACUCCUCAUACUACAUUGGAUUAAUCUAUUUUAUUAUAGAAAUAAUAAUGCUAGUAUUAGUAACAUGAAUACUUUCUCCUGCGCAUAAGUCUAAGUCAGAUCGAAAACUUCACUGACACUUAACAGCCCAAUACUAAUAAACAUAAACAAGCCAGUAUUACUAACACUGUUAAUCCAACACAGGCAUGCCCCAAGGAAAGGUUAAAAAAAGUAAAAGGAACUCGGCAAACUUAACCCCGCCUGUUUACCAAAAACAUCACCUCUAGCAUUACCAAUAUUAGAGGCACUGCCUGCCCAGUGACACAUGUUUAACGGCCGCGGUACCCUGACCGUGCAAAGGUAGCAUAAUCACUUGUUCUUUAAAUAGGGACUCGCAUGAAUGGCAACACGAGGGUUUAACUGUCUCUUACUUUUAACCAGUGAAAUUGACCUGCCCGUGAAGAGGCGGACAUAAUAUAACAAGACGAGAAGACCCUAUGGAGCUUUAAUUUACUAAUGCAACCAAAACCUAUAUAAAUCCACGGAUUCAACCCACUACCACUCCUGCAUUAAAAAUUUCGGUUGGGGUGACCUCGGAGCACAAUUAAACCUCCGAAUAAUCCAUGCUAAGACCACACAAGUCAAGGCUACCAGUAUCUAUAAUUGAUCCAAUAACUUGAUCAACGGAACAAGUUACCCUAGGGAUAACAGCGCAAUCCUAUUCCAGAGUCCAUAUCGACAAUAGGGUUUACGACCUCGAUGUUGGAUCAGGACAUCCUAAUGGUGCAGCAGCUAUCAAGGGUUCGUUUGUUCAACGAUUAAAGUCCUACGUGAUCUGAGUUCAGACCGGAGCAAUCCAGGUCGGUUUCUAUCUGUUUUACAUUUCUCCCUGUACGAAAGGACAAGAGAAAUAGGGCCCACUUCACAAAGUGCCCUCCCCCCAUAAAUGACUUAGUCUCAAUUUAACAAAAACCUCAUAAUAUGGCCCAAGAACAGGGCUU